AAUAAGAUGGCCGAAAUUUAAGCAAAAGACUGUAAAUCUUUCCAUGGGUUAUUCCCUCUUAUUA
rnacentral:tRNA from 1 species